AUUCAUACUUUUUGAAGGAACAGAUUACAAUUAUAAAGGGGUUUUUGUGUUGUCUGGGGCUUUUUAACAAAUUUAAGUCCUUCCUUUAAGGAAGGACUUUUAUGUAGCAAUAAUUUAUACUCUUCCCAUCAUUUGAGGUUACAAUCAUAAAUCCAGAUCUCUUGCCCUAUGCCAAAUUUAUGUAUUAAACCCCCACUAAACAAAGCUUAAAAUCCUGGUAGUUGGUAAAACAGCCCUCUUCCAUACACUAGGAAAUUGUGAUGUCAGUGAUGAACUUUUUAGAAUAAUGUUCCGCCUUCAGUGCUGCUGUUGAAAGCAUUAAUAGGGUUCUGCAUUAAGUUGUCUGUUUUAGUAGUCUGGACAUCAUAUGAAAGCUGACAAUACCACCUAUUUCUUCUCCCAGUCCCAUUUAUGACUCAGAUUUUAAAUACAGGUAUGAUCCCUUAACCCAGAAACCUGUUUCCUAGAAAGCUUUAAAUUAUGGAAAUGCCAUCUGCCAUAGACUCGAUUUGAAUCAAAUAAUUCUAAUUUUAAAACAUAUUUCCUUUUUCUCUGUAAUAAUAAAACAGUAAUUGAUACCGAAUAAGACACAAUGAAUCCUUGUUGGAGGCCUAACAAUUCUAUUUGGUUUACUUAAUGUAUACAUUUUUUUUUUUAGUAGACUUAAUGUAUAAAGAUGCAAAUUACAGAAAGUCCUCUUAUCUGGGAAACUCAAGGUCCUGAGCAUUCCAGAUAACAGGUCCCAUACCUGUAAUGUUUAACUGCAAACGAGUAUUUCUAGCAUCAUACAACCAGAAAGCAGUUUGUACUCUGAGAUCUUCUGUUUAAGCUGGUUUUAAGCAGGCUCUUUAAGCAGCAUCUGUUCAUAGCAGGGUAUUCAGGGCUCAAACUAGGGGUAGGCAAAAGAGGAGUGAGCCUAGGAUGCAACCAUUGGGGGGGGCACUAGAUUUAAACCAUUUCUGUCUGCCUAGCACUAGGUUGGUCGGACCAUGGGUGAUGGCAACACAGGUAGACAGAUUUUUGGCACAGGCACAGGGGUCUCCUCACUUCUCCCCAGCCAUUGCUCUCUGUUGUCAUCUCGAGGAGAGACAUGGGAGGUGGGGGGGCAAUAGAAGGUUUUCCUUGGACACACUUGAUACUUGGCCCAGCACUGAGUGGAUUUCCCAUUCAAGUGAACUAAAAGUGGCCAGCAUUGUAUAGGUAUAGUUCUCCCUGAGAAGACCACAGCAAUCAAAGUUUCCUAGGUCCCAUUUGUUAAAGAGCUAUUUGCUUUAAAACAGUUCAUAUCUACAACAGAGGUAAGAGGUGCAGCAUAAUUUGCUACAGUUAUACUAGUUAAUAAUUUUCCAACUCACUAAAUAUUGUACAGAACAUCACAUACCUCUAGAUUCUAAAGGAAAAAACCCCUCUCCACCCCCUACUACUGCAUGUGCAACAUACCUUAAUAUCUAUUCCUUUCUUCUAAUGUCAUGUACAGAAUCAACAAAGAGACUCUAUCAAAUGAAAGGCACUUGUUUAGUAUAAUCUACCACUGUUAAAGGCCUUCAUAGCAAGGUGCCUCCCAGACAAUUUACCAUUUCACUGUGUACUGCCAGUUGUAUGAAAGCAAAUCAACCAUCACUAACACAUUAAAGCAAAUGAAAAAAAAUGUGAAUUGUAAAAAGUCUUUUAGGGCAAAAAGAGAUUUUGGACCCUUUGGCGCCAAUGAUUUUUAGUUGCUGGAGGUGGUAAGAUCGCUGUUAUUGAUACCCAAUGACUGCUAUGGAAAUCACCUUAAAGUCCUUGGUAACUUGGUCUGCCAUGUUUCAAGCUUAUGCAGGCUUAUGUAACUAUGACAAUGAAACCUCUCAAAAGCACCCCAUGCGCCAUUGCUCUUAAAGAAAUAUAUCAUUUUCUCAGUGUGCUGUCAAAUAUGUAAGGUACAGAUGUGAAUGAUGAAAAUCGUAUUGUGAGCCAGUUUCUUUGUAUAUGCAAUGUCUGGCCUUCCGACUGAAGGACUGUGAAUUUCAUAUACCAGCUGUUGCUGUUUCAGCAGUGUUUAUUUCCCUUUAUUUUUUUUGUGUGUGCAUUUGUUCAACUAAUACUUUACCUGUUCUUUGCAGCAUCUGUUCAGCUGUUAAUGUUUGUUCGUUGAUGUGUAUUAGCUGGAAAUAGCCUUGCCUUCCAAUGCAUUUUGUAUGACUUGGGCAGCACAGAAAUGGCUAUCUUGCAUCUCUGCACUUUUGAAGUCUGCUGGAUAUACCACUCAGGGGAGGGUUGGGUCUUUGAGGUUUCUUAGUUUGGUUGGGGGGGGGGGGGGGGGUCAGUUCUUGUUCCCACUUUAGCAGUAUACUAUGCCAAGAAUACAUCAAACACCUCUCAUCAACAGGUACCCUACAAUAUGGAAACAAAAGAAGAAAAAAGUGGAUAGAGCUAAGGAAGGGAAAAUAUAUUAAAUAUUAAUCUGUUACGUGUCUGUUGUUUAAUAUAAGAGAAAUGUUAUUGUUUUAAUAUAAUAAAUGAAAGGUUACUUUUGGAAUUUC